AAAGCAAUGUCAAACUUCUCUUACCGGAUCAUAGCAUCUUCGUCUCUGAUCGAACAUGUAAAAUCAGGAUCGAUGGUAUGGAAGCGAUUCCAUAUUGCUAAGAGAUAAUCAAGGUGAGGGCUCAAAAAGCUUUCAGACGCCCACUUUUUGGUAAAUUGUCAUUUAAAAGUGGGCUUUACUUAAAGUGGUUUGUCCCUCGUAUAAUUCAACCAGAGUUGGU
rnacentral:misc_RNA from 1 species